AUUGAACGCUGGCGGCACGCCUAACACAUGCAAGUCGAGCGGUAACAGGAUGUGUAGCAAUACACAUUGCUGACGAGCGGCGGACGGGUGAGGAACACGUAGGAACCUACCCUCAAGCGGGGGAUAACUAAUGGAAACGUUAGCUAAUACCGCAUAAUCUCGGAAGAGAAAAGCUACCCGCAAGGGCGGCACUUGAGGAGGGGCCUGCGUCCGAUUAGCUAGUUGGUGAGGUAAUGGCUCACCAAGGCAAUGAUCGGUAACUGGUCUGAGAGGACGACCAGUCACACUGGGACUGAGACACGGCCGAGACUCCUACGGGAGGCAGCAGUGGGGAAUAUUGGACAAUGGGGGCAACCCUGAUCCAGCGAUGCCGCGUGAGUGAAGAAGGCCUUCGGGUCGUAAAGCUCUUUAGGUUGGGAAGAAGUGUAUUAGGUUCAUAGCCUAGUAUGUUGACGGUACCGACAGAAUAAGCACCGGCAAACUCUGUGCCAGCCGCCGCGGUAAUAC
rnacentral:rRNA from 1 species